UACGAAGGGGGCGAGCGUUGUUCGGAUUUACUGGGCGUAAAGGGCGCGCAGGCGGCUCAUUUUGUCAGGCGUGAAAGCCCCGGGCUUAACCUGGGAACUGCGUUUGAUACGGAUGGGCUAGAGUUCGGGAGAGGAGAGUGGAAUUCCCAGUGUAGAGGUGAAAUUCGUAGAUAUUGGGAAGAACACCGGUGGCGAAGGCGGCUCUCUGGACCGGGACUGACGCUGAGGCGCGAAAGCGUGGGUAGCAAACAGG
rnacentral:rRNA from 1 species